rnacentral:rRNA from 1 species
AUGCAUGGCAAGCGUGACCGUCGCAUCGGCGACCGUUGUCUUUCCGUCUUAACCGAUGAGAAGCAGGAUAUAAGCGAUCUGCUUGGUUACAUCCAUGGUUUCUACAGGGAGGCGCUCGAUCUGCUGCCGAUAGCGGCGAUUCCCUCACUGGUCCCGCGCCUCCUCAAGGCCGGCAUGCCCAUCGGCUUCCUCGACCCAGUCUCCAACAUCAUCGCCAACACCAUCGCCUACACCCCUUCACCGACGCCUGGAUCCGACCAGGAGGAGGAGGCGCCGUCGUCGGAGUGGAUCUCUAAGAUCAUCACCGACACGAACGACAACUCUGUCUUCAGAGUACCGCUUUCCCGGCAAAAUGCCCAUGGCAUGACCCUCGCGCGGCGGUCGCUGGACGGUCUUGUCAGCUUCCUCACCUCCCACUACCGCUACCUCAUCAGCAGGGAAGCCAUGAGCUACCUGCUCCUGGCCAGGGCCGAUCUUCUCACCGCUGUGCGCCUCAUCGAGCACAAGAGGCGCAAUGUGUUCAGUAUUACCUCCUCUACCAACAAGGUCGCUCUGGAAUGUGCUGCUGUGUCUGCAAGGCAUCCUGAACCAGAUGUCCUGGUGAAAGCGUCGCUGACUAUGGCCUCUCGCGAUGUCUCCAUGCUUUUGACUGGACAAGGCCCUCUCUCGCCUGCAACCCUCGAGAGCCUCGCCGAGCUGCUCAGGCAAGGCCCUACGGGCAUGGAUCUCAUCAACGUAUCACUGGAUCAUCUUCGUGUUAAUGAAGGCACUUGCCAAGCUGCCCCGGGACGGCCUGCGCAGGCAUCACCACUGCAGCCUCCUGAGGGUGGAUACUGCUAUGGCCCCAGGGAUCCUGUCUCCAACAUCAUCCUCAACACCAUCUGGUACGGCUCUAUGUUCCCCACGCCCCACAAGUUCGAGCUGCAAUUUAAGGUGGACAUGAUAUGCACACGCAUGCUUGCACGCAUCGAGUGCUGCUCCCUUUACGGCCUUGUUACCUUCCUUCGCACCUGUGCCCCUGAACUCACAGAGCACGACGCCAUCUGGUAUUUGUUCAGGAGCGGUGCGGAUGUACACAAGGCCAUCCGUGAGGUAAAGAAGCAUGGUCAUCAUGUGCCUGGCAAUUACCAGGACGCCUAUAUGCAAGCGGCGGUUGUUUCAUGGCACGAUGACCCUGAUGAGCUGGUCAAAUUUGCUACGUCUUCAUUGAACAUGGAGUCUGCCAAGUUGUUAGCACUAUUACAGGGCACACUUACCAACGACGGAGUCGAAUGCCUCACCAUGGCUCUGCCACAUAAAUCUCCAGCUACCAAGUCCCAGGAGCAGGCUCAGCAACCGAACCAGGUGACCUCAAGCUCACAGGUCUUGAGCAAGAACCAGAAAAUUUUCAUUUCAGAGUUUCGGAAAAAGUUUAGGCGCGACCAAAACUUCUUUGUCAGAAAGGUCAAGGCGGUAUUGAGCGACUACUCUCAGCGAAAAGUGGUGCACUAUAAACUUCAUAUCAUUUGUGACGUGAAUCCUAGGGUACCAGAUGGACCAAGCGUUGCUCUCGUUAAGAAGAAAUUCCAAUUUGAAUACUUCCAUAUCAACUUUUUGGCAACAGCGCCAAAUUCUGCUGUCGCAGCUCCAGAACUGUUCUUUGCUCAAUGUAGCAAUAGUAUCAAAGAGAUGCAGGAGAGACCAUCCUGGUGCACCCCUGUAUCGGAUUCUUCUAUAGAUAAUGCUCGAUGUUUCUCUUGCAAGUUUAAUGGGGCGAAGAUUGUGCAUCCAUGUGAUGAAACAUACUGUGGGUGCUACGAGGAUUUCAAACUUAUGGCUCAUGGUAAACAUGGCACUGGGAAUGAACUUCUUACCAGUUCCUGUCAUUCUCAUUCUGAUGUAAUGGCCACAAUGACACAAGAUUUCAUUUAUUUUUAUCCCAAUAUGGAUUCAAAGUUUGCAGAAAUGAACCCAAUCUCCAAUGUGGCUAGGAAGUUGAAAGAAUGGAAGGGUAGAAUCUUCUGA